rnacentral:lncRNA from 1 species
UUUCUUUUUCUUUUUCAUACUUUCAUGAAAUGCAACACAUCACAGCUAAUCACAUCAAGGAUGGUAUUGUCACCAUUAGUCCUCUUCCUUUCCAAAGUGCCGGGACGUAGAAUGGGUCAACCGGUCUUUCUCUUACAUAACACAUCAUAUCAUAACAUUCCAAUAUGCCGGGACGUAGAAUGGGUCAACCGGUCUUUCUCUUUCUUUGUGCCAGGGACGUAGAAUGGGUACAACCUGGACUUUCAUACAUAACAUGCCAUAUCUCAUCAUAACAUAUCGAGGACUAUGGAUCAUCCAAUCAACCAUCCACAUCAACAUCAAUUUAUGCAAUGCAGCAUAUUCGUGAAUUCUAAUGCAAACAUCCUGAAAUAUCGCAUGGCAUUAGUGAUGCAUGGGCAAUGCUUUAUGAUUCAUUCAUUUAUUUAUUUACUUUACUUUAAAACUUAAGGGGUUGUUCCACUCACCUGACGACUGAAGCUUUAACAACUCAAAGGUAGCUAUCUCACUGCCGGGGGUCUCGGUUCCUCGGGUCCGAACCUACACAGGUGGACUUAAAUGAGGUACCAAACAAACAUAAACAAGACUCUAAACAUACCCCCAAAAACCUCCUAAAAAUACCUCAAAACACCCCUAGAAAACAUGCAAGAAAAUGCUGGACAGGGCACUUUCGGCGGCACCUUCGGCGGCCGGAAGUCCCUCCAGAGCCGAAAGUCAGGCAGGUUCGGCGGCACCUUCGGCGGCCGAAACUCCCAGACAGAGACGAAACUCAUGCAUGUUCGGCGGCACCUUCGGCGGCCGAAAGUCUCGGACAGAGCCGAAACUCCAACUUUCGGGGGCAAGCUUCGGCAGCCUAAAGCUGCCUCUCAAGCCAUGUUCGGCGGCCGAAACUCCCUUCGGCUGCCGAACCUGGUUUCUGCCAAAGGGCAGAAACUCGGCUCCUCUUGCCUCCAAGGUUCCCAAACUUCCUAAUCAUGCAUAAA